GUCAUCUUUAUCCUUGCAUUAGGAACUGUCACUUUUUCCACUCAAUAAUGCAAACUUCUUGCUUGUUAGGAUUGUUAUCUGACUGUUAAGCAGUGUCAGAUCUAAGUGGUGGUGGAGAGCUAGAGAUUCAUCGGAACCAUCGAAUGUUGCAGAGCAGAAUGCUAUUGCCCUAGCUAGAUUCGUCGAUCGCUAGAGGAACAGAGCAAAGAACUUUGCAGACAGAGAUAUAGGAAGAAAGAAGAAGAGGAAGAGCCGAUCUGUGAUGACGACUAUAACCAUUGCUGCGUUGUAGUUGUAGAGCUGAGAUAGAACUCUGGAACUAGAAGAAAGAGAUGACUUUUUAUUUUUUAUUUUAGGUUUGGGCUGAAGUUGGACCUCUUUUUUGUUCAAAAACAUUAGGCCUAAGUCCCAUAUGAAUGAAUUAUUACCCCCAAAACAACAACAGAUGGUCUAAAUAAGUGAAAUGACUAAAUCAAUUCCCUGAAAUCGUAAAGGCAAACCUUUUUCCUCACCAUUCGAAAAGCAAAGAAGAGCAGUAGGCAGCAGCUACUGCUACUAAUGCCACGAGGAAGAUGAAUCGACGACGUCGCCAACGAAGUGUUCUGCCGACUGUCGUUUUCUUUUCUGGUCUCAUAAUCUUCGAGCUCAAGUAGCCUUCGACCGAAUUGGUGAGCGCAAUUCUCUUACUCUCUUUCUCUGUUUUUAUUUAUUUUGGUUCUUGUUCUAUUUUGUUGAAUAAUGAAUAUUGUCUGUAAUUUGUAAAUUAUUUAAUCACAUUCAUAUGCACUGGCAAUUUUUUAUUCUUAUUUACGAGUUAUGAUUUAU
rnacentral:lncRNA from 1 species